UGCGAACACACCCACGGGCCUUGUGCUGUCUGCUCCUUCCCUCGUGCUGUGUUGGAUGAUGAUGAUAUUUAAAGAACAGCGAGGGGCACAGGAUGUGCUCUUGUGUGGUUUCCUGAGGCAGCAGAACCAGGGAUGCAGGGCUCUGGGGACCUCGGACCUGGACACUGAUGGAAGACUGCCAUAACUGGGAUGCCUCCAACAACCAUCGGACUGCUGAUGGCAAAGAGAAAAGGGAUGCAGUGUGGAGGCAGCAGAUGACGUCUUCUCCUGGCUUCAACACCAACCUUGGUUGCAGCUGCGAAGAUGUGCUGAGCCCACCGAGGCCUCUGACACGGGAAGGACCUGGGCACCGGGUGCCCGCAGUGCUGCUCGGCUCCCAGCAGGAGGUGGGGAGGGACAGCAAAACUUCAGUCUCAAGGCAUGAGGUUUGGACGUGGCUGAGGAGACGAAAUGUUAGCUACUGGCAGGUGAGGAGACAAUCUUUUGAGCAUUCAUUUGGAAUAUUAGCUCUUAGACCGCAUGGCAGCAUGAAACAGCUGCGGACUGCAGGUGUCCUACCAGCAACUAAUGGCAGGUUAAGCUAUAAGCUAAUGACACACGGAAAAGGAGUCUUGCAAUGCCAGCAGCAAAUCAGCCCGCUCUGUAGUACCUUCAGACCGCCAACCCCUCGGGUACCAGCCACACUGCCAUGUCCUGCUGACGUGCCAAGGCACUGCUAG
rnacentral:lncRNA from 1 species